rnacentral:rRNA from 1 species
AGAGUUUGAUCCUGGCUCAGGAUGAACGCUGGCGGCGUGCCUAAUACAUGCAAGUCGAGCGAACCUUCUUCGGAAGGAGAGCGGCGAACGGGUGAGUAACACGUAGGUCAUCUACCCAUUAGACGGGGAUAACGUUUGGAAACGAACGCUAAUACCGGAUAGGAUGAAAGUUUAAAGAAGCUCUCGGGCUUCGCUAAUGG